CUGACUGCUCUAUGCCAUUCCCUCGGGCCCUGUCGCUGUCACAGAGGGCAGAGCUCAGCAGUGCCCCUCUGCUCCUUGUGAGGAGCUGCAGCCGCCAUGAGGCCUCCCCUCAGCUCCUUUGCUCUGCUCUGAGCAAACCCAGGCACCUCAGCCACUUCUGACGUGUCUUGCCCUCUAGACCUUUCCCCAUCUUCGUAAUCAUACUUGGGAUGCUCUCUAAUAGCUUUAUAUCUUUCUCAUGUUGUAGCACCCAAAACUGCACCCAGUGCUUGAGGUGAGGCUCCACCAGUACAAAGUGGGACAACCAAUUCCCUUGACUGGCUAGCCGUGCUUUAUUGUAGGUGGAGCGUGGACUAGUUAUGUUAAAGGAGUUGCGUAUAGAAUGCUAUUUUCACGUAAAAGGGAAUAAAAUGGAAAACUAGAACUUAGUUAGUUAAGUUGCUUUCUGUCCUCCCCUAUCUUAUUUUCAGGAUAAAAUGUAAGGACUCUUAUUCAGCAAGAGCCAUUUUUACACUCCCAGUAAUUUGGAUCUUCGUCUGGAGCUGUUUUUCUUUUUUCAUUAUCCUAGUUAUGUAUAUUAAAUAAACACCAGGUCAUGAAUUAUUGCAAACUUCAUCAUGGCUUGUAUUUGCAGAUAGUUCAUAGUUUCAUCAUUUUCAGAGCUACAUUUUUAGUUUGCUAAAUGUCAGAGGAAAUAUUUAGAGUUUUUUUUUAUUUUAUUAUGUUGCAUAAAAUAUUAUUUUCCCUCCCUCUGAGAAAAUUGGAAAGGCAGAGAAAAGUCUGUUCUCAAACUCAGCUGGUUCCUGCAGAGAGGGAAGUAGUUAAGAGACUGCACAUCGUGCUCCUUGAGGACAUGACAGCUGGUCAUUUAAAUCAUGGAUGACUUCUUGGGAAUGAUUCACAAUUAUGUUUUAGGAGCAUGUUUGCCUACUGUUAUGUUGUAGAAGAACAUCUUUGCCUGUUUUGGACAGUCUCUGUUUCUUGCAUCAUUUUUCAUCUCUGGUACAAGUUAGUUUUGAGUGUAGCAACGAAGUGUCUUGUAAAGCUUUUGUGAUUUUCAAGCAAAAGAAAAUGAAGCAGGUAAUAGAGAACCCCAUGCUGGAGUGUUUUCACAUAGCAACAGUGGCAUUGUGACCACCCUUUCUCUUAGCCCAUUAAGCAUGCUACCACUGCUGUUUUUGCAUAGUCUACAUCUUUCAGUACAUCCUCUCAUAGUUUUCUAUAAAAGAGAAACAGUGAACAUCCUUACAAGCAUGACCAGUUCUCAGCAAUAUUUCCUCUUCUGUUCACAAUGGAAAGGCUUUUAGAAAGUCACCAAUCAUUUCCAAACAGGAAAGCACUGGAAGUCGUUCUCUGUAGUGUUUGAAGACCUCUACUCUUGAGCACAUCCUUAGCACAUCCUCUGUUCUUCAGCUAGUCCAGCAAGUGGGUUAUGCUGAGGACAGUAUAUCUCAUUCCCUUAUGAUUCAAUAGGACAGGAAUGUGUUUACUCAAAUGGGUGAUCUGGCAUUCUCUUUUUGAGCUGGACUCUUUUAUUGCAGAAUACGGGGCUUUAUGCAUCAGAGUAUGAAAAUAAAUGCAAGCUGGAAGAGUGUGCAUAUAAUACAUGCUGUGGUUCACCAACUUUGAAAAGUUAUUGCUUUACUCGUUGACUUUUUGGCAGAUAUAAUGUCAAUCUGUCACUUUCAGGAACAAUACUCAGGAUAAGAAGGGGUUAAAAAAGACUAAAUCAGCACAGUGCUGGACUGAUCUUGAUUUUUUCCAUAAGGCAUAAACCUAAUUCCUCAGUCUGGUAGAGGGAUCAAAGCAUAGCUCUAUGUCACAGCUCACUGGGUGUGAUCUUUUGAAAAAAAACAUCUUCUCCUGGCAAUGAUUUUCAAAAACAUUUUGUACUUUAUUUCUGUGAAAUCAGGAGAUCGCACAUCAGCCAACACAUUGUCAGGUAUCAGGAGCAAAUCUAUGUCUGGCUUACCUCACAAGGUCUGUCCUCUUUUUUAUUACUGUUUUAUUACUGCCACUAGUUUUAUUGCAGUGAGGCCAUCAGUAAAAGGGCAGUAGAAGAUAACUGAUUUGAAGAUGCACUUGGUUUUGCUUACUAGCUAAGCCUACCAGAGCAUAGUUUUCUUUAGAAUGGUGAUAGUAUCAAACAACUUCUAGCAUAAGCUUACAAAGUUGUUAUCCAGUUUUGCAUGCCAUUUGAAGGCCCACAAAUGUUUUCUUAAAAAGCAGGAUAAAAAAACCAAGAAUAACAAAAGCAGUAACUAUAUAAAAAAAUAUAGCAAGAAGCAAUGUCUCACGAAAAGUACUUAUU
ensembl:lncRNA